rnacentral:rRNA from 1 species
AACGAACGCUGGCGGCAUGCCUAACACAUGCAAGUCGAACGAGACCUUCGGGUCUAGUGGCGCACGGGUGCGUAACGCGUGGGAACCUGCCCUUAGGUUCGGAAUAACUCCCCGAAAGGGGUGCUAAUACCGGAUAGUGUCUUCGGACCAAAGAUUUAUCGCCUUUGGAUGGGCCCGCGUUGGAUUAGCUAGUUGGUAGGGUAAAAGCCUACCAAGGCGACGAUCCAUAGCUGGUCUGAGAGGAUGAUCAGCCAAACUGGGACUGAGACACGGCCCAGACUCCUACGGGAGGCAGCAGUGGGGAAUAUUGGACAAUGGGCGAAAGCCUGAUCCAGCAAUGCCGCGUGAGUGAUGAAGGCCUUAGGGUUGUAAAGCUCUUUUACCCGGGAUGAUAAUGACAGUACCGGGAGAAUAAGCUCCGGCUAACUCCGUG